CCUAAUACAUGCAAGUUGAGCGAUGAAGAUUGGUGCUUGCACCAAUUUGAAGAGCAGCGAACGGGUGAGUAACGCGUGGGGAAUCUGCCUUUGAGCGGGGGACAACAUUUGGAAACGAAUGCUAAUACCGCAUAACAACUUUAAACAUAAGUUUUAAGUUUGAAAGAUGCAAUUGCAUCACUCAAAGAUGAUCCCGCGUUGUAUUAGCUAGUUGGUGAGGUAAAGGCUCACCAAGGCGAUGAUACAUAGCCGACCUGAGAGGGUGAUCGGCCACAUUGGGACUGAGACACGGCCCAAACUCCUACGGGAGGCAGCAGUAGGGAAUCUUCGGCAAUGGACGAAAGUCUGACCGAGCAACGCCGCGUGAGUGAAGAAGGUUUUCGGAUCGUAAAACUCUGUUGGUAGAGAAGAACGUUGGUGAGAGUGGAAAGCUCAUCAAGUGACGGUAACUACCCAGAAAGGGACGGCUAACUACGUGCCAGCAGCCGCGGUAAUACGUAGGUCCCGAGCGUUGUCCGGAUUUAUUGGGCGUAAAGCGAGCGCAGGUGGUUUAUUAAGUCUGGUGUAAAAGGCAGUGGCUCAACCAUUGUAUGCAUUGGAAACUGGUAGACUUGAGUGCAGGAGAGGAGAGUGGAAUUCCAUGUGUAGCGGUGAAAUGCGUAGAUAUAUGGAGGAACACCGGUGGCGAAAGCGGCUCUCUGGCCUGUAACUGACACUGAGGCUCGAAAGCGUG
rnacentral:rRNA from 1 species